rnacentral:rRNA from 1 species
UAAGGAAUAUUGGUCAAUGGGCGGAAGCCUGAACCAGCCAUGCCGCGUGCAGGAAGACGGCCCUACGGGUUGUAAACUGCUUUUGCAGGGGAAUAAACCCCGGUACGUGUACCGGGCUGAAUGUACUCUGAGAAUAAGGAUCGGCUAACUCCGUGCCAGCAGCCGCGGUAAUACGGAGGAUCCAAGCGUUAUCCGGAUUUAUUGGGUUUAAAGGGUGCGUAGGCGGCCUAUUAAGUCAGGGGUGAAAGACGGUAGCUUAACUAUCGCAGUGCCUUUGAUACUGAUGGGCUUGAAUGGACUAGAGGUAGGCGGAAUGUGACAAGUAGCGGUGAAAUGCAUAGAUAUGUCACAGAACACCAAUUGCGAAGGCAGCUUACUAUGGUUUAAUUGACGCUGAGGCACGAAAGCGUGGGGAUCAAACAGGAUUAGAUACCCGUGUAGUCC